rnacentral:misc_RNA from 1 species
AAGUCGUAACAAGGUUUCCGUAGGUGAACCUGCGGAAGGAUCAUUACAAAUCCACGUCUCUUUUUUGAGACUCGUUGAAAUGUGUGUUAAUAAAGUUCGAACUCUCUCGUUCGACUUUAUUAUUAUUUACUUACUAGUUGUUGAUCAGUCAUUAUACAAUAUGUCUAUUUUACACAACUUAUAACAAUGGAUCUCUAGGCUCUU